rnacentral:rRNA from 1 species
CCAGCAGCCGCGGUAAUUCCAGCUCCAAUAGCGUAUAUUAAAGUUGUUGCAGUUAAAACGCUCGUAGUUGGAUUUUGGAAGCAUGUGCUCGGUCUGCCUUCGGGUAAGUACUGAGUCUGUGCUUCUUCCUUCUGAUGAAUCCAUGUGCUAUUUAUUUAGUGCGUGGGGGAGUCAGGACUUUUACUUUGAGAAAAUUAGAGUGUUUAAAGCAGGCCUGUGCUUGAAUACUACAGCAUGGAAUAAUAAAAUAGGACUUUGGUCUUAUUUUGUUGGUUUUGAAGACCGAAGUAAUGAUUAAUAGGGAUAGUUGGGGGCAUUUGUAUUUCAUUGUCAGAGGUGAAAUU